rnacentral:rRNA from 1 species
AUCCGGAAUAUUGGGCGUAAAGAGCUCGUGGCGGUUCGUCGCGUCUGCCGUGAAAGUCCGAGGCUCAACCUCGGAUCUGCGGUGGGUACGGCAGACUAGAGUGAUGUAGGGGAGACUGGAAUUCCUGGUGUAGCGGUGAAAUGCGCAGAUAUCAGGAGGAACACCGAUGGCGAAGGCAGGUCUCUGGGCAUUUACUGACGCUGAGGAGCGAAAGCAUGGGGAGCGAACAGGAUUAGAUACCCUGGUAGUCCAUGCCGUAAACGUUGGGCACUAGGUGUGGGGGACAUUCCACGUUUUCCGCGCCGUAGCUAACGCAUUAAGUGCCCCGCCUGGGGAGUACGGCCGCAUAGCUA